AGCUCCAAUAGCGUAUAUUUAAGUUGUUGCAGUUAAAAAGCUCGUAGUUGGAUCUUGGGUCGUAAAGGUCGGUCCGCCUACUCGGUGUGCACCUGCCCUUCCGUCCCUUUUGUCGGCGGCGUGCUCCUGGCCUUAACUGGCUGGGUCGCGGCUCCGGCGCUGUUACUUUGAAAAAAUUAGAGUGCUCAAAGCAAGCUUAUGCUCUGAAUACAUUAGCAUGGAAUAACGUGAUAGGAGUCUGGUCCUAUUGUGUUGGCCUUCGGGACCGGAGUAAUGAUUAAUAGGGACUGUCGGGGGCAUUCGUAUUUCAUUGUCAGAGGUGAAAUUCUUGGAUUUAUGAAAGACGGACCACUGCGAAAGCAUUUGCCAAGGAUGUUUUCA
rnacentral:rRNA from 1 species